GGGAAAGCGCGGACUCCGCGGCAUUCCGAUGUGAGGACUUCCGCGCGGAGUUGAAAAAAGCCGGUCUGCGUUCACUCUUCCCUGCCUGUUUUCCAGUUGCGGAGGUUGGUGUGGCGCGGCGUCAAGUUGGGAGGAAGCUUGCAUUGGCUCCACAAGAGGUUUCGUGAUUGACUACCCUAGUAAGGCAGAAGAGGACUGUCCUGCAGACAGUUGUUAUUUGGUGCCUGAUGACUUGAGUCACCUGAUGUGUGAGCUUCCACAAGCCAGUCAACCCUGGAAAACUGCCAGCACCCGAUUACUGAGACCCAAAGCUGAACUCUGAGAAUGCCUUCAAAGUAACGAGGACUCCUGGCAGUGGGCAGCCAGCGUUCUUCUGCAGGUAGCUGCUCUCUUGCCAUAUUCCCUUUCGACCUGCUCUCACUGCAAAGGUCCUUUCCAAAUCUAUGGCUCUGGGAUUGGCCAACAUUCUGAUGAACUGCCUUGACUAUAUUGUUCUUCCCCUCACUGAGGAAUAGAACAAGUCAGACCUCUAAAGCAAUUAAAAAGGGACUCACCAAUCCCAAAGUGACUCACCUUUGAAAACAUUGGAUUGUCUCACUCUCCUUGAUACUUAAUUGAAAGCAUCUUUGCAAGCUCCAUACAGAUUUCUGCGGUGGCCCUAGCACUCAGCAGUCCCGCAGACUGGCAGAGCAAAAGGCAGCAGGAGGCAGUUCAAGCCAUCUGUCCCAGAACGAGACAUCUGGUCUGUGCCUCUGGUUGGGACUUUUUGGAAGCCAUCUGGCUCCCCACCCAACAGAGCUGUGAUUAGCUAGAUGCUGUCAAGUGCUGGUGAGCCUAAGAGGAGAGGAUGCCUGAGCUGAAGUUGGCCUGGCAGUGAGCUUGGUUGGCUGGGAAAAUCAUGGAGCCAGCCAAUUGCUAUAAAGUAUCCACAGACAUCUACACAUGCCUGGGCUUUACAUCCAUCAAAUUUUUUUUUUUUUUAAAUUUCCAAGCACCAACGCUGAGUGUUGAGUUAUCAGGAACAGUAAUAUGCAUUUUCUAUUGUUACGGUUGGCCAGGAUUCUUGUCCUCUCUGAAUUAAAAAAAAAAAAAAAAAGUCAAUUUCAGGAGAAAAGUGUAGAGAAUUCAUGGCGGUGAGAAUUUAUGGCGGUAAGUAUUUUGGAAACAUGGGCUCAGAGGAUACAAGGUAUCCUAGAGAAACUUCGGUGAAAAAGAAACUUCCCAAAUACGGGGUGGAGAAAAGGAGUUUCUCAAAUACAAGGUGGGAAGCACUUGCUUUUGUGAGGCUAGAGGUGUUUGGGUCCCUGCUCAUCAUGUCUUUAUUGCCCCCACAAAGGACACGACACAGCCAUGUUCCCAUUGCCAGCUUAUUGCUAUUUUAUCCCUCAUUCUUAGCUAAAGAAAACUGAGUACAGUAUAAUGGGAGUUCCUGGUAUUUUAUUAAGGUGAAAUAUAUGCAACGCCAGAGAGGUUGGAAGGGUUGUCUCUAUCCCAGGCCUUCAUUUACUACUUCAGAGCAAAAGCACGUGUUUAGUGCUUCGAUUCAAACCAAUGUUAACAUAGGAUUUUCACCUGCUGCAACUUCAGGGAAUAACAGAUAACCUCAUUUGGGAAUCUGAUUCAGAAACUUCAUCUUUAAAAACGGAGCUGUGGGGGUGCCUAGGUGGCUCAGUCGGUUAAGCGUCUGCCUUCUGCUCAGGUCAUGAUCCCAGGGUCCUGGCAUUGAGCCCAGCAUCAGGCUCCUUGCUCAGUGGGGAGCCUGC